UACGGAGGGUGCAAGCGUUGUCCGGAUUUAUUGGGUUUAAAGGGUGCGUAGGCGGCUUUUUAAGUCAGUGGUGAAAUCCAACAGCUCAACUGUUGAACUGCCAUUGAUACUGGAGAGCUUGAGUACAGACGAGGUAGGCGGAAUUUAUGGUGUAGCGGUGAAAUGCAUAGAUACCAUAAAGAACACCGAUUGCGAAGGCAGCUUACUAGGCUGUAACUGACGCUGAGGCACGAAAGUGUGGGGAGCGAACAGG
rnacentral:rRNA from 1 species